rnacentral:rRNA from 1 species
CUUCCGCAAUGGACGAAAGUCUGACGGAGCAACGCCGCGUGAGUGAUGAAGGUUUUCGGAUCGUAAAACUCUGUUGUUAGGGAAGAACAAGUACCGUUCGAAUAGGGCGGUACCUUGACGGUACCUAACCAGAAAGCCACGGCUAACUACGUGCCAGCAGCCGCGGUAAUACGUAGGUGGCAAGCGUUGUCCGGAAUUAUUGGGCGUAAAGCGCGCGCAGGCGGUUUCUUAAGUCUGAUGUGAAAGCCCCCGGCUCAACCGGGGAGGGUCAUUGGAAACUGGGGAACUUGAGUGCAGAAGAGGAGAGUGGAAUUCCACGUGUAGCGGUGAAAUGCGUAGAGAUGUGGAGGAACACCAGUGGCGAANGCGACUCUCUGGUCUGUAACUGACGCUGAGGCGCGAAAGCGUGGGGAGCGAACAGGAUUAGAUACCCUGGUAGUCCACGCCGUAAACGAUGAGUGCUAAGUGUUAGAGGGUUUCCGCCCUUUAGUGCUGCAGCAAACGCAUUAAGCACUCCGCCUGGGGAGUACGGUCGCAAGACUGAAACUCAAAGGAAUUGACGGGGGCCCGCACAAGCGGUGGAGCAUGUGGUUUAAUUCGAAGCAACGCGANGAACNU